GAUUAACGCUAGCGGCAGGCCUAAUACAUGCAAGUCGAACGGCAGCGGGUGUAGCAAUACAUGCCGGCGAGUGGCGCACGGGUGCGUAACGCGUAUGCAAUCUACCUAUAACUGGGGAAUAGCCUUCCGAAAGGAAGAUUAAUACCGCAUAACAUCACGGAACGGCAUCGUUUUGUGAUCAAAACUCAGGUGGUUAUAGAUGAGCAUGCGUGACAUUAGCUAGUUGGUGAGGUAACGGCUCACCAAGGCGACGAUGUCUAGGGGGUCUGAGAGGAUGAUCCCCCACACUGGUACUGAGACACGGACCAGACUCCUACGGGAGGCAGCAGUAAGGAAUAUUGGACAAUGGCCGCAAGGCUGAUCCAGCCAUGCCGCGUGAAGGAUGAAGGUGCUAUGCAUUGAAACUUCUUUGUCCCGGAAUAACCCCUGAUUUCCUAUCGGGGCUGAAUGUACG
rnacentral:rRNA from 1 species